rnacentral:misc_RNA from 1 species
AGUGCGUUUCCGAUAGGUGGCGUUGUUUUGAGAUUACAACGCCAAUUCUCUGCAUCAUCGCUCAUAUCCGAUUCUUAGAUAUAUUCGAACAAAAAUUGGUCGGUAAUCUUCGCCUUUGGUAGCUAUAAUAUUUAAGAAAUUCAAGGAAUAUUUGGAUGUAGUACCUUUUCACAACUUUCAAUUAUGGAAGCUAUAAAUGAUCAUAAACAUUUGGUAAAUGGCGAAUCUGAUUCAGGUUCGAGAAUGCAGUCGCCUACGGCUGAUAGAGUCAGUAGUUUUUUAAAAGCUGCUCGUAACGGUAAUUUGGAGAAAGUAAUUGUCUAUUUAGACAGUGGAAUAGAUGUCGACAUAAGUAAUAACACCGGAUUAAACGCACUUCACCUUGCUUCAAAGGAAGGUUACUCUGCCGUUGUUGAAGAGCUUUUAAACCGCAAGGCUAAUCUAGAUGCCCCUACGAGAAAAGGAAAUACGCCCCUGCAUAUUGCUUCCCUCGCCGGUAAACAUAAUAUUGUGGAGACACUCCUGCGAAAUGGAGCCAAAGUGAAUGUUCAAUCUCAAAAUGGAUUUACUCCUCUAUAUAUGGCAGCCCAAGAAAAUCAUGCGGCUGUCGUUGCCCUACUUCUUCAAAAUGGGGCCAGUCCUACUCUCACAACAGACAAUGGCUUUACGCCCCUAUCUAUUGCUUUGCAACAAGGACAUAAAAAAGUGGUCGAAGAACUCAUUCAAACCGACAGAUCACGUAAAGUGAAAUUGCCAUCUUUACACUUGGCGGCAAAGAAUAACAACACUAGCGCUGUCCAAUUAUUCUUGAAUUCUCCAGAUGCUGAUCCAAACCUAGCGUCAAAGGGUGGAUUCACUGCUUUGCAUAUAGCCUCCCAUUAUGGUAGCGAAGAUGUCGGACGCAUGCUUAUUGAGCGAGGAGCUAACCUCGAUUACAGAGCAAAGAACAAUAUUUGUCCACUACAUGUCGCAUCAAAGUGGAACAGAGCAGGCAUGGUUAAACUUUUACUUGAUAAUGGAGCGGAUAUUUCCAGCAGUACUAAGGACCUAUUAACCGCUCUGCAUUGCUCAUCCCGAUCCGGCCAUUCGUCCGUAGUAGAGCUCUUAUUAGAGUUUAAUGCACCUGUCGAUGCUAGAACUAGGAAUAAAUUAACACCCUUACACAUGGCUGCCCAAGGAAAUCAUUAUGAUACAGGUCGCUUGCUAAUUUUUAAAGGGGCACCCAUAGAGGAAGUUACUAUAGACUACUUAACUCCAUUGCAUGUGGCUUCUCAUUGUGGCAGUUAUGAGAUGGCAAAGCUACUAUUAGAUAGUAGAUGCGUUGUUGAUGCUCGAGCCAGGAAUGGUUUCACACCUCUUCAUAUCGCUUGUAAAAAGAAUAAACCAAGGAUUAUAGAACUUUUAUUAAAAUAUGGUUCGAUGAUUGAUAGCACCACUGAGACCGGAUUGACACCUUUGCACGUUGCCUCUUGGUCCGGACAUAACCAAAUUGUGUCAUACCUAAUUGAACAGAGAGCCAACCCGAAUCAGAAAACUAACCGGGGAGAAACCUGCUUGCACAUGGCCGUUAGAGGAAAACAAUUAGAAACGACUAAGCUGCUAAUUAAGAGUGGCGCUCAAGUGAACGCCACAGCUAAUGAAAACGAGACAGCCCUUCAUAUUGCCGCUAAGUUAGGCGAUCCAGAGAUGACAGAAUGUUUACUUUAUCAUGGAGCUGACGUAAACGCUGUUACAAAUGGUAACUACACUGCUCUACAUAUCGCUUCAAGAGAAGGAAACGAUCGCGUAGUUGAAGUUUUAUUGAAUAACAAGGCUGCUAUUAAUAGUUUUACAUCUCAAAAGUUUACUGCCUUGCAUUUGGCAGCUAAGAAAGGACAUACAGAUGUAGCAAAAAUACUCCUUAAAAAAGGAGCAAAGGUAGACGCCGUUGGAAAAAAUAACUUGACGCCACUCCAUGUAGCCGCCCAUUAUAAUAAAAUUGAUGUUGCUGUUUUAUUACUUGAACGUGGAGCAUCUCCAAAUUCUCAAGCUAAGAACGGUAUGACACCUCUUCAUAUCGCUGCUAAGAGGAAUGAAUUGGCGCUGGCAAAUAUACUUAUAAAUUACAAAGCAAACACCAAUGCUAAAACAAAGAACGGUUUCACCCCGCUGCACGAAGCUUCCCAGCAUGGACAUCGAGACAUGGCAGCUCUUUUAUUAGAAAAAGGUGCUGACGUUAAUUUCGCUAGCAACAAUGGACUUCGUCCUAUGCAUCUAUGUGCACAAGAAGAUCAUGUACCGGUGGCCGAAGUUCUUGUUAAAUAUCAUGCACAGAUAGAUCCUCAAACCAAAGCUGGAUAUACUCCUUUGCACACUGCUUGCCAUUUCGGACAGAUUAAUAUGAUUAAAUUUCUACUUGAUCAAAAAGCAAAUAUUCAUUCGACGACGAAGAUCGGUUAUACUCCGUUGCAUCAGGCAGCUCAACAAGGUCAUGUCCUUGUUAUUAACUACUUGCUUAAAUAUAGAGCAAACCCAGACUCAGUUUCGCAAACGGGACACACCCCACUUUCGAUAGCGCAAAAGUUAGGCUAUAUUUCAGUUAUAGAAGCUUUGAAAAGGCAGACGAGCGUUGUGGCAAAUCCCGACGACCAUUACUAUAAACACUAUCAGCCAGAGGAAAUGGCUGAAGAUGGUGAAAUGUCAGAUUCGGACGGCGAUGAAGAUGCUUUCGACACGGGAGUUAAACCACAUGAGAUGAGCUAUAUGUAUGGAACUAUGUCCCCAAUUCGGGGAGGAACACUUUCAGAGAGAUCCCAUCCUUCCUCCUUUUAUCAUGACGAUUCUAUUUACUCCCAUACGGAGCAUGACGAAGUUUUUCCACAGGAAGACCAUAUGGUUUCUGAUUUCCAACAAAUGGACUAUGCAGCAAUGAGCGAAUCUAGACUGAUGUCUAAUUCAUAUUCGCGAAUGUCUUUCAAUUCUAGUUUCGACCCCGAUAACGUUGUUACCAAACCACCAAACGUUUCUGGAUUUCUUAUUUCUUUUGUUGUCGAUGCUGUGGGGGGCGCAAUGACUGGAUGUCGUCAUUCAGGAAUUCGCAUUAUUAUACCUCCCGGGAGAGCAUGUUCACCAAUUAAAAUUAUAUGCAAAUUAAUCAAAAAAGAAAAACUGAAUUUUCCACCACCUUUGAUGGAAAAUGAAGGCCUGGCUAGCCGAAUUUUGGAAAUGAGUCCUAGUGGCUAUCAAUUUGCUGGAGAUGUUAUUAUCGAAAUUCCACACUUUGCUUCACUCAGACAAGGUGAGAGGGAAAUAGUCAUCUUAAGGAGUGAUGAUGGAGAGACCUGGAAAGAGCAUGGUGUAGAUACGACGGCUGAAGUAAUGGAAAAGAUAAUAGAAGGCAGUUUCGACGAGCUUGAAGCCGCUGAAAAAAUCUAUCAAAAACGAAUUAGCAGAAUUGUAACAACAAACUUUCCCAAAUAUUUCGCUCUAGUUUCGCGAAUUAAGCAAGACUCGAAAUUAGUUGGAGCAGAAGGAGCCGUUCUAAAAUCCCAUAGCAUACCACAAGUUCAAGUUGCUUUCCCUGCGGGUGCUCUUAAUAAACCGACCAAGCUAAAAUUACAAGUAUACGAGGCGCCAGAUGAUCUUGUUAACAAAAUUUUUGGUCAUGGUCAAUUUGCUUCGAGUCCCAUCGUUACAAUAGAACCACGUAGACGAAAGUUCCAUCAAUAUCUAACUGUAACUUUACCACUUCCUAAAGGACAAAGAGAUCCAUCUCCUUCAUUAAGAUUGUUAUGUAGUAUUGCAGGAGAUAUCCAACCAACCCAGUGGGAAGACAUAACAGACUCACAGCCCUUACAGUUUAGCCCCAACUCUGUUUCCUUUGAGUCUAAGGUUUCUGCUCGAUUUUGGCUUGUAGAUUGCAGAAACAGAGAUGCAGUUUUGGGUAAAGCAUCUGAACUAUACAAGCAAACACUUUCGGUGCCGUAUAUGGCUAAUUUCGUUAUAUUUGCUAAACCCAUGGAAGAUAAUGUGGGUCGAGUUAGAGUUUUCUGUGUGACUGAUGAUAAAAUGGAAAAAACGCUUGAAACCCAAGAAAAUUUCAAAGAAGUAGCUAAGUCGAGAGAUGUUGAAGUGGUAGAAGGUAGAACUUACCUUGAAUUCCAUGGAAAUCUUAACCCCGUGAUGAAGUCUGGUGAUCAACUUGGAUUGACUUUCAGUCCUUUCCGCGAGAAUCGGCUUCCUUUUGCUGUUUGCUUAAAAGAUAGAAAUCAACCAGCUUCCUCAUGCCUCACCUUUAUGAGCAAAUCACGAGCUGCAGCAAGAAGGGAAGCCCUCAAACCAGUAUGCACAUUAACUUUCGAAUUGCCUGGAGGUGUUUCCAAGCAAGUGCCCGAAAUUUCGAUUGAUGCUGCCCAAGAUGGAUUAGAUGAAAUAGAACCAUCUGAGUUAAAACUAACUAGCAUAGCCGAUCUCUUAUCAGAAGAUUGGGAAUCCUUAGCCCGAGAGCUAUCUGCUGAUGAUAAAGUUGAAACUAUUAAGGCCGAUUAUCAAUUUCCCAGUGAAAGAGCACUUGUUUUCCUUCAUUUAUGGUUUAACGGUUCGGAAUCUGAUCCGAAGAUUGAAGAUUUACGACAAGCCUUAAUUAACAUUGAAAGAAAGGAUAUUGUAGACAGCCAUUUUCCUACAACAACCGUUCAACGCAGUAAGAUCACUUUUUAUAUUUUUAUUUUUUAAUCAAAACAGUUUGAGUGCAUGCCAAGGGUUAAGGAGCAGGUGUAGACUUUUUCAUCAUUUCUUUCCUUGAACUUAAUUAGGGGUGGAAUCACUAAACUCUGUUCAAGAAGAGGAAAUAUCACAUGCUGGCGAUUCAGCAGUGACAGAAGCUGCAGUCUUCGAUCCAGAAAUUGAGAAAAAGAAAGAAGAAGCCAGAGACAUACUUGCUAGUUUUAUGACUGAUGUAGAGCUUGACUUGGGGAAUGAGGCAUUUUCAGGUAGAAGCUAUGGUUUGACCCAUGAUUCCCAUAUCACCCAUGUUGUUUUAUUUUUAUUUAGUCUACCAUUGAUUAAUUUUUUGAAUUCCUUCACCUUUGCAUGUACCACCUACAAAUUAUUUUUUGUAAACUGUAAAUUUUUUACCUUUCUUUCCCAAUCAAUCUCCCUUCUACUUCUUUAUCUCUCUCUGUUCUAUCUAUUUAUCUCUCUCUUUCUCUCUCUUUCUCUUUCACUCACUCUUUCAGCACUCCAGCUCCGGGAUGCUAGAAAAAAUUUUCUGUAACAAUUUAUUUUUUUAAAAAAAAACAAUAUAUAUACAGGCGCCAUCACUGGAGAACAAACAGCGUCAUCUGUUGUAGAAUUCUGUCAAGAGAAAAAAGUUCCAACCUCUGAAAGCAUGGAUGAUAGGGUUUCAAUGUCUAGUAAUGAUGAAGAAAUAUUUAAACCUACUUCAGGUAGUUUCACUCACUCCGCUUCGAAAUCUCACUCUAUGAAUAUAAACUGACUGUUCACUUUUCAAUUUGCUUCACUAUCGCUAACUUUAGUUUAAUCUAUAAAAACGAUUUAGAUGACCAAUGGGAAGUAUCAGAGGAAUGGGACGGAUUUAAGUGGAUCGUUAUUGAUAAGGUUUUACGAGAAUCAGGUAGAAAGAUUUAAUAAAGGAAAUUGAGAUGGGAGGGGUACGGCGAUAAGAUAUGACUUUCUAUUUAUAGUUUUUUUUAUUCGUUAAGGCUUGUUAGCAUGCUCUUUUCAUGUUUUUCCUUAAUUGUAUUUAUCAAGAAAUACUAUAAAUAGGUUUAAUCUUCUAUUUUUACAUCUUUUAGGAGAGGAAAUUGUUUCUGAAGCAAAACAGAAGGCUGACCAUGCUUCUCCUUUCGAUGUUAGAGAUGAUUCCCAAAAUAUUACAGAUAGCAUUAGAGUCUACACUGAAACCAUUGAGGGCGAACCACGAGUGGAAGAGCAUAUAGAAGAAUUUGAUGAAACCCUACCGGAUGGUCGAGUUAUUAAACGACGAGUAGUAACUCAAAAACAAGAAAAAUUAGUUACCACUCACAUCCUACUAGAUGGCCCCGAGUCCGAUUUGCCUGAAAUUGUAGAAUCCUAUGAAGAUGAGUGGUCGAGUGAUCAAAAUCCUGAAGUAACUGUAAAUGUUGAACAUCUCCCAGAUGGUGUAACAGUUGAAAGAAGAGUUGAAAAAACUGUUUCUAGAAGCGCUAGGAGGACUGUCCUUGACCAUUUACCGAAAGAUGAAGGUGUCGAAUACGAUAACGAAGAGGAAAUGGAUCAUGCUACAGUCGUUUUGAGGCGAGAUGUAACAAAGCAAGUUAGGGAUGGUGAAACGAUAGUACAAGAAGACGUGAAUGUAAUACAAGAAAGCGAAUUACCCGAUGAAUGUUCCCAACAAAUUGAAAACGUUAUAACCGAAUUCACUAAGAAGAGAGAUACUAAUUAGAACACGUGCAUACAUUUUUAUAUUUUGACAAAUUUUUUUUUCUUUUAGACUUGGCUUGAAAAGAAACGCUUUAUCUAUAUUAUUUUACUUUUAAAAGUUGACAAUGUGCUGCAAAGUAACAAAAAAACUGUACGUAGUUGAGAAAAAGAAUACAAAUUUAGUACUAGAUGGCGCUAUGAACGCAUCGACAAUCAGCAAUUGUUAUUCAAAUGGGGGCAUUUGUCGGGAUACGCAGCUAAUGAAGUACAUUAGAGCGGUAGCACUUAUUGGGCGUUUAAGCGUCGGCAGUGGUUUGGACUUCGGCAUUUAGUUUCUAAGUGUAUUCAUAGAUAGUUUAUUGUAUCUAUCUCAAUUGCGCAUGUUUGCUACAAACUUAUAACCACUGACAUUAGAGAUGCGACUAUUGUCGAUAUAACCGAGAGUCCCAAAGUAGUAAAGUAUCUAUUUAGGCCUAAACCCGGCAGCGAACACAGACGAAAAUUUCCUGCGCGUACUGCAAACUGCAAACUGCGCCACAAGCUGCAUUCAUUCAUCGUUGCCCUGGAUCGCGAGCCACACACACUCUCUAUCUCUCUCUCUGUCUGUCUCUCUCUCUCUCUCUCUAUCUCU